rnacentral:sRNA from 1 species
GCCCGCAAUUUUCGAAGAAUUCAUCGAAUUUAGGAACAUCUCAUUUGCUAUUUUCGAAAAUACCUGUUAUCCUGUUGUUAAUGUAUUUAUGGUUCGGAAGUUUUAAAGGCUCGACGUUCUUUAAGAAUGGCUCCUUUUUACCCCAGCUUUCAAAUGCAAAUAUUAUAUUGCGCUAUGCGCACACGGAGGUUUCAUUCUUAUGGAACAAGGUACUGUUAAAUGGUUCAACGCUGAUAAAGGUUACGGCUUCAUUACUCUUGAAAACGGCUCAGACGUGUUCGUUCACUUCUCUGCUAUCAACAGUGAAGGUUUCAAGACGCUUGAAGAAGGCCAACAUGUAUCCCUUGACGUAGAACAAGGCGAUCGUGGCCCACAAGCUGCUAACGUUACGGUUGUUGACUAAUUUACUUUAGCCUAUAGCCUGAAAAGUCACCAUCUGCGGAUGGUGGCUUUUUU